AGAGUUUGAUCAUGGCUCAGAUUGAACGCUGGCGGCAGGCCUAACACAUGCAAGUCGAGCGGUAGCACAGAGAGCUUGCUCUCGGGUGACGAGCGGCGGACGGGUGAGUAAUGUCUGGGAAACUGCCUGAUGGAGGGGGAUAACUACUGGAAACGGUAGCUAAUACCGCAUAACGUCGUAAGACCAAAGUGGGGGACCUUCGGGCCUCAUGCCAUCAGAUGUGCCCAGAUGGGAUUAGCUAGUAGGUGGGGUAACGGCUCACCUAGGCGACGAUCCCUAGCUGGUCUGAGAGGAUGACCAGCCACACUGGAACUGAGACACGGUCCAGACUCCUACGGGAGGCAGCAGUGGGGAAUAUUGCACAAUGGGCGCAAGCCUGAUGCAGCCAUGCCGCGUGUGUGAAGAAGGCCUUCGGGUUGUAAAGCACUUUCAGCGGGGAGGAAGGCGGUGAGGUUAAUAACCUCAUCGAUUGACGUUACCCGCAGAAGAAGCACCGGCUAACUCCGUGCCAGCAGCCGCGGUAAUACGGAGGGUGCAAGCGUUAAUCGGAAUUACUGGGCGUAAAGCGCACGCAGGCGGUCUGUCAAGUCGGAUGUGAAAUCCCCGGGCUCAACCUGGGAACUGCAUUCGAAACUGGCAGGCUAGAGUCUUGUAGAGGGGGGUAGAAUUCCAGGUGUAGCGGUGAAAUGCGUAGAGAUCUGGAGGAAUACCGGUGGCGAAGGCGGCCCCCUGGGACAAGACUGACGCUCAGGUGCGAAAGCGUGGGGAGCAAACAGGAUAGAUACCCUGGAAGCCCACCCCGUAACGAUGUCCAUUUGGAGGGUGUGCCCCUGAGGCGUGGCUCUCCGAACUUACCCGUUAAAUCCACCGCCUGGGGAAUCACGCCCCAAGGUUAAAACUCCAAUGAAUUGCGGGGGGCCCCCCCAACCGGGGGAACAUGGGGGUUAAAUCUAAGGCACCGCGA
rnacentral:rRNA from 1 species